rnacentral:siRNA from 1 species
GCGGACAAGCCCGUUGCGGACUGC